rnacentral:rRNA from 1 species
AGAACGAACGCUGGCGGCAGGCUUAACACAUGCAAGUCGAACGCUCAUAGCAAUAUGGGAGUGGCGCACGGGUGAGUAAUAUUUGGGAACGUGCCUUAGAGUCUGGGAUAACCACUGGAAACGGUGGCUAAUACCGGAUAUUCCCUCCGGGGGGAAAGAUUUAUCGCUCUAAGAUCGGCCCAAGUCAGAUUAGGUAGUUGGUGGGGUAAUGGCCUACCAAGCCUACGAUCUGUAGCUGGUCUGAGAGGACGACCAGCCACACUGGAACUGAGACACGGUCCAGACUCCUACGGGAGGCAGCAGUGGGGAUAUUGGACAUGGGGGAAACCCUGAUCCAGCCAUGCCGCGUGAGUGAUGAAGGCCUUAGGGUUGUAAAGCUCUUUUGUCAGGGAAGAUGAUGACGGUACCUGAAGAAUAAGCACGGCUAACUCGCGCCAGCAGCCGC